GAUCCUGAUGCACCACUGAAGCUUCAGACGCUGCUGAGCUUUGAUCCCUGCCAGUGACUUCCAGUAUGUUUCAGUGCAACAAAAGGUGACAUACCGAUGUUAAACCCUCGGCAUGAAGGAAUGUCCUCCUGCGAACCCGUCAUGAACUGUGGCAGAGAGACUGAAGACGAGCGUGUCCAUCACGAGAUGUGACGUGUGUCAUGUAUUAAAAACACUUUUAAACAGAA